rnacentral:rRNA from 1 species
CGCCAGACUCCUACGGGAGGCAGCAGUGGGGAAUAUUGCACAAUGGGGGAAACCCUGAUGCAGCGACGCCGCGUGGGUGACGAAGUAUUUCGGUAUGUAAAGCUCUAUCAGCAGGGAAGAAAAUGACGGUACCUGACUAAGAAGCCCCGGCUAACUACGUGCCAGCAGCCGCGGUAAUACGUAGGGGGCGAGCGUUAUCCGGAUUUACUGGGUGUAAAGGGAGCGUAGACGGCAUGGCAAGUCAGAUGUGAAAGCCCGGGGCUCAACCCCGGGACUGCAUUUGAAACUGUCAGGCUGGAGUGCAGGAGAGGUAAGUGGAAUUCCUAGUGUAGCGGUGAAAUGCGUAGAUAUUAGGAGGAACACCAGUGGCGAAGGCGGCUUACUGGACUGUAACUGACGUUGAGGCUCGAAAGCGUGGGGAGCAAACAGGAUUAGAUACCCGGGUAA